rnacentral:lncRNA from 1 species
CACGUAGUCCGAUUACCCGUCCUGCCAUUUGGGAUAUUUUAGAUUUAAAUUUAGGCCAUAGGAAGGAGGUGUGCUUUUUAUUUAUACCUCGAUAUUGGAUCUGUAAUGAGAUUUAUCUUAGAUUUUCCCCGUGUCUUUUGGUCAAGAACACAUUAGGCCUGUAGUAUAGACUUGACAGUUCAGCCGCACAAAAACAAAGCACCGGUUUUUAAAAUAUAAACCCGUAACCCUGAC